rnacentral:rRNA from 1 species
UGGGGAAUAUUGGACAAUGGGCGCAAGCCUGAUCCAGCCAUGCCGCGUGAGUGACGAAGGUCUUCGGAUUGUAAAGCUCUUUUUACCAGGGACGAUAAUGACGGUACCUGGAGAAUAAGCCCCGGCUAACUUCGUGCCAGCAGCCGCGGUAAUACGAAGGGGGCUAGCGUUGUUCGGAAUUACUGGGCGUAAAGCGCACGUAGGCGGAUUGUUAAGUCAGAGGUGAAAUCCCCGGGCUUAACCUGGGAAUUGCGCUUGAAACUAUGCGGCUUGAGUGUGGCAGAGGGGGGUGGAAUUCCACGUGUAGCAGUGAAAUGCGUAGAGAUGUGGAGGAACACCGAUGGCGAAGGCAGCCCCCUGGGCCAACACUGACGCUCAGGCACGAAAGCGUGGGGAGCAAACAGGAUUAGAUACCCCCGUAGUCCCUGAGCGGGCUGGCAAGGCGCAU